ACGUAAUAGAUACCCAGGUAGUCCACGCCCUAAACGAUGUCUACUAGUUGUUGGUGGAGUAAAAUCCAUGAGUAAACGCAGCUAAACGCGUGAAGUAGACCGCCUGGGGAGUACGGUCGCAAGAUUAAAAACUCAAAGGAAUUGACGGGGGCCCGCACAAGCGGUGGAUUAUGUGGAUUAAAUUCGAUGCAACGCGAAAAACCUUACCUGGCCUUGACAUGCCACUAACGAAGCAGAGAUGCAUUAGGUGCCCGUAAGGGAAAGUGGACACAGGUGCUGCAUGGCUGUCGUCAGCUCGUGUCGUGAGAUGUUGGGUUAAGUCCCGCAACGAGCGCAACCCUUGCCAUUAAUUGCCAUCAUUUAGUUGGGCACUUUAAUGGGACUGCCGGUGACAAACCGGAGGAAGGUGGGGAUGACGUCAAGUCCUCAUGGCCCUUAUGGCCAGGGCUUCACACGUAAUACAAUGGUCGGUACAGAGAGUUGCCAACCCGCGAGGGGAGCUAAUCUCAGAAAGCCGAUCGUAGUCC
rnacentral:rRNA from 1 species